GAAUGUAAAUUAGUAUAACCUUUAUGGAAAACAGUAUGAGAUUUCUCAAAGAACUAAAAAUAGAACUACCAUUCCACCCAACAAUCCCACUACUAUCUACCCAAAGGGAAAGAAAGCAAUAUAUCAAAAAGACACCUGCACCUGCAUGUUUAUCACAGCACUAUUCUGUUUCUGGGAGAGGAUGGUGGCAUAAUGGAAAUUAUCAUGUUGUUUUUAUAAACAUAUUCCGCACAUUCUGAGAUUUUUUUCCAACCCCCAUUUGAA
rnacentral:lncRNA from 1 species